GGACGGUCCCACGACUGCUCCGAAGGGCCGGGACUCCCAGUGGGGGCGGGACCCCCGGAGUGCCCGCCUGCGGACUCCCAAGCCUGGAGCCUGGGGAGAGGGUGGGCACCUCCGUUCCCGCACACCCGUCCAUGGUGUGUGCGCCGAGCGUCCAGGAGCCACGGCGGUGUCUUCCUUGCGCGUCUUUUACACGUGUGGGGGUAGGCUGCUCCUCGGGGCUGAGCCGUGGCCAGGGUUAUGGAGAGGCCCGCCUCUCCCCAGAUGGCGUCGUCGAGCCCUGACUCCCCAUGUUCCUGCGACUGCUUUGUCUCCGUGCCCCCGGCCUCAGCCAUCCCGGCUGUGAUCUUUGCCAAGAACUCGGACCGACCCCGGGACGAGGUGCAGGAGGUGGUGUUUGUCCCCGCAGGCACUCACACUCCUGGGAGCCGGCUCCAGGCUGGCUUUGGAACGGAGCAGCUCUGCCCAGGAGGCCUUGCAUGUGAUCACAGGGUUACUGGAGCACUAUGGGCAGGGGGGCAACUGCCUGGAGGAUGCUGCGCCAUUCUCCUACCAUAGCACCUUCCUGCUGGCUGACCGCACUGAGGCGUGGGUGCUGGAGACAGCUGGGAGGCUCUGGGCUGCACAGAGGAUCCAGGAGGGGGCCCGCAACAUCUCCAACCAGCUGAGCAUUGGCACGGACAUCU
rnacentral:lncRNA from 1 species